rnacentral:piRNA from 1 species
UAAUCAGGACCACAUGAACACGAAGUGCAAG